AUAACAUGUUCAAUUGCCGAAUUGAAAUCAUCUACCUUGUAUCGUAUUCAGUAUUUCUUACAAAUCCACAAGAACUAUGUAAAUGGUACUAUUUACAUAGGAACUUCUGCUAAAGAACAGGAGCAAGUUCAAACCAUUCAACAUAUGAUACUGGAAAAGCUGGGAACAUUUCAURUGGGGUGUCAUCCACCAUUUUUGCAGCUGUCAUUGCUGUUGCUAUUGUAGUUAUUGUUCUUCUCAUAUUGGUUAUCGUAUGGAUGCGAUUUCAAGGCAUACAAAACGACAAMAGGUACGUACAAAUAUUCAAUUUAUUCAGCAAUAAAGAAAAAUAGCAUAUACAAUAAUUGAUGAGUCCCAAGCCACAGGCUUAUGGGAAACGGGAAUUAAAAACGAACACUGACGAACGAACAAACACGCUUUGAUGUAAAAUUCUAAGUGAAUAAUUUUUUAUUAUUUUGAACUAUAUAUAACAUUUUUAUUUUCAAUAUUUUAUUAUUUCAGAGUCAAAAGACAAGAAAAAAACCAGACGGAAGUUCCCGUCAGUCGAUCCUCGUUUUCAACACCAUCUUUUGAUACUAAGACUGUUUACGAGAACGAGGGUUUUAUUUCCCGUCAAACCAAACCAGAUGCAGACAUGGCUCUGUACGAGCAAGUACAAAACAGGGGCCGGGUAAUGAAUCAAGGUGUCGUUGGACCGCCUUCCUUUCCGAUGGAGUAUAUACCAGGAAGCCGACCAGCAAGACAUGAAACCGAGAACCAGGUGCAAUCACAAUUGAAGGAGCCUUCUUAUCAGGCACUGGAUCAAAGAGAAAUGGCUGGUACUAAGCAUGUUAAUGUUAAUGAAGGGUCUUAUGGACAUCUGUUGGGAUUUACAAGGAGUCCAUCUCAAGACCAAAACCAUUACCAGGCUAUGCAGCCUGAGAAUCGGCGGUCCACACAAUAUCAGUCACUUCAAAACAUGCAUAAACCUACAUUUAAUGUGUAAGAUUUAGAGAGAUGACACAAUAAGAAUAAUUAUACCUCUUUACCUUGAAUUGGGUAUAAUGUUUUUGCAUUUCAGACCAUGAUGGCCACCUGUCAUUUGCUAUGAAUUUAUUAAAUGCUUAAUUAAAAAAGUGACACGGGGCCUGAAAAGGGAAAACAUUACGCUAAAGGAAAAGAGUUCUAUUGGACUUAAAAUGAGAAGUAAAGGACGGCUUUUUUUUUUCUGUUUUAAAGCUUAUAUAGCUAAUAAUGUUAUUCGCGCGGGAUCCCUGUUUUCUUAGUGGUCCUUUUUUAAAUUUUGGGCUUCCUUUGUCAAAUGCCAGGUUUCUAAGCUAUAUUCAAGAUGAUGGACAAGUUAUCAUCGCUAUAACAUCUGCAAGUUUUGAUUCAUAUUAUCGACAAUUUAAAGCUUAUUUAAAUGGAGGAAAAUCCCUAAUAAGUAAUCUAUGUUCACUUCCCAAUAAGGUAAGCUUAACUAGUAUGGACACAUAGACUUCAUGGCCACGCGAACGACAAUUUUAUUUAGGGCAAAGUUUGAUAUGUUAACUUMUUAACCGUACCAGUGUUACCAUCUAUAUUAUUGCAAGCAUUCUGUAUGUAUGGUUGUCAAACAAGCCACUACUAAUGGCCAUUUAUUGAACUAGCUUUAUUCCUUUAGUCGGAAUUAAUUUCAAAAUAAUUCUUACAGAUUUACCGAUUCUUCUUUUCGUUUUUGUUUUUUUGUUUUUCUGUUUUGCUUUGUAUUUCGUUUAGUAACAUAAUUUACAUUUGAUACUUUCUUAAUAAUUAUAAGUUUAUGAUAUAGCUAAGUUUGCUGACAACAUUGUUUUACAUUCAUUGGACAUUUAUUUCACAAAUAUAUACAGUAUGACAAUAUAAAUUUCCUUCAACUAUAUUAAAAAACAAACAAUUAAAAUAAAUGUUAGUUUUUAAAAAA